rnacentral:tRNA from 1 species
GCCUGUGAACCUCGGCGGACCUAUUAAGCCGCCUUUGCACGGCGGAGGUCAGGGGUUCGAAUCCCCUCGGCUCCA